CGCUCAUCUCAUUUGGGCGGCGAAACAAAUUUUGGGCAGUGGAUUCAAAUUUUGAAUCCCUUACUCAUCCCAAUCCCAAGACACUUAUCAUACGCAUACUCUUCACAUAUGCUUUUCUGUUCCUAUUCUUUUUUCUCCCAGAGAAACCCUAAAACACAAAUGAAGUCAGAUCUUGUAGAUUCCAAUUACUUCUCAUUCUCAACAGAAUCGAGUUCUCAUUUUUAUCAAAGUCACCCCGGAAUUAUUCAACGAUUUGGAUGAACAAAGAUCCAUCCAACUCACAUCCAAGUUCUGAAAACCCAAGAUCUAGGAUUUACUUUCAUGUCUGGAAUAAACUGAUUAGGAUGACAGAUCUACAGUUCGUGAUUGCAGUUGGUUGAGAAGACAGCAACUAUUGAUAGUACAGAACUUCAAAAGGGGAGUGAGCCCCCCAAAGAGUUUAUACAAGCCAAAAAAGCAUUAUACUGAAGCUCUCAUUGACGGGCGAGUGCAUUUUAAACUUUUUGAUGACUGCUAUGUCCAGGUAGAAAGCAUCAAGUUCAACAGUGGAGAAAGAGCGCAUCCAGAAAUGCUUAGUUUCUGUAGAGGUUUUCAAGUGCUAGCGGUGGCUCCUCUUAUAUAUUUCAAACUCAAUAAUUUUAAUUAUUUAAUUAGUGAUCAAAGUUGCCUCUUUUAUUUAAAGUAUAAUAAUAAAAAAAGAACGAAAUCGCCUGUUCAUGUUCGUUUCUUUAUUACACGAACAAACACACCGCCAAACGGUUCACGAGCUGUUCGCUUCGCUUCGGUUUUGUUGUGCUGAUGCCGCAACCCCUUUAAUUCAGCUUCUAGGGUUUUGUAUACGAUGAGUCGAUGAUAUUCAUCUUCUACAUAGCUAUUAUUGGUUCACUUGGAGCCUGAAGCGAAAAAAAAUGGUUCCAAGAGAACGUAUGUACCGUGGACCAGCUAGGAACAAGGCUGAUGCAAAUAUGGCGGCGGGUGGCGGCAGCGGAAUGCUUCCCGUACCUUACAAGAUGGCUAGCGUUGGCGGCAUGCUUCCACGCGAUGCCGCGGCUCCCAUCCCACAACAAAUGCCUAUUACAGCGUUGGCUUCCGCUCUUGCUAACCUAUUUAGUAAAAACUAUUUGGUUACAUGUGUUUGCCUUCUUUUCAAGUCUUACUGAAAUUGGUCCAGUUUUCGGUCCUUCAUUUUGUAUAAAAUCGGUCAUCGGGUCGGGUCAAACACUUUGCUCACCCCUAGGCCAAAAUCCACUGCUUUUGAUAACUAUGAGAAGUUGAACAUAAAGUAUAGUUUUUUUUGUUUACUGAUGAAUUACCAGUUUGAGUUUGAUAUAUAGUAACUGUAUUCUGUGUAUUUGGUUUAAAUGAUAGCAAAAAAUAUAUACAUUUAUUACCAUGUUAGUUUUAAGAAUAAUAGUAACUGGAUUCUGCCUAUACCGUAUUCACCAACUAUAUUAGUGAUACAUUUGUCACUUCAUUACUUGCAUGUUUUUCUAAUGUUUCAUGAUAAAUAUUUAUUUUUAUGACUAUCAAAGCUUCAUGAUUUUUGAACCUGUAAUGUGUUAACUGGCCAGCCGAUCAUUCAGGUUAUCUCAAGAAUGCUUCCAGAGGAGAUGAUAACAAACCACUGCUUAUUACAUACUUGUUAUAGCAAAAAUGGAAGGAGCACCUGUCAGUACUGCUCUACACUUAUUACAGCAUUCACAUCCCAUUUACCGUGUCAUCCCCAACCUCAUAAUUUGAUAGCACUGCCUUUCUAGAACACUAUCACAUCCACUGCAUAUUAGCGAGUUUCAUGACUGUCCAAAGUUGAAAAUCUUCUCAAGGGACAACUGAUUGUGUAUUUCUAAGGUUUGCACUUAAUUACCUUUCAGUUAUUGACAAUUGUUUCAUCUUUGGAUACAUAUCUAUGAUAUAAUGCUUUUAGUGUUAUAUAGGUGCGUCAUUACAGGCAAAGGAGGAACACAAUAUUAAUAUCUUGGUAUUUUGCGUACACGUACAUAUAUAUGUUUUGGGCCUGGAUGUUGCCCAGAUAAAUGUGUAACAUGGGCAAGAGGAUUGGUCGACGAAGAAGAUGACCAAUUUCUGGUGCAUUCUUUCAUCGCCCCUGUUUUUUAGUGGGUCACCAUCAAGUAGAGCUUCUUACCCGCGAAUACAGGACACACCAUUUGGGGAUGACGACAAUAUCUUAUCUUUCUCUUCACAUGUUAUUUGAUUUUUUGUAUAAAUUUAAUUUACUCUUUCAUUUUUAAAACCAAGUUCCAGUCCCUUUGAUGGGUUGUUGCUUGUUUUCUAACUUCUUAUGUCUGUUGUAUAAAUAAUGCUUUGACUAGCUUAUGUGACCACUAAGUUUUUUUGGACUUCA